UCCUACUUAAACGCCAUUUUGAAGACAAAGGAGAAAGAAGACGGAGUAAAAGAAGGGAAACUGAAUAAAGAACGGAGUUGGCUAAUUUGGGCCAUAACUGACCCGUUUUCCAAUCUGGUCUAAUGUGAUCCAAUAUCUUGGGGUAGGAGGCGCUGUUACUAAAAUGAGUCUCUCAGGGGAGCCAGACACCAAAGGAGGAACCCUCAGCACUGAGAGGAAGAGGGUCCAGGUAGAAAGAGCCGAGUCACCUGUACCCAGCUGUCUGUCUAUGAAGAGUAAUGAAUCAAUGUAUAGUCCAAUCUACUUCAAAGCAAGGUCUACCGGUGAUCACAGGAUAUUGCCGUCACUGGAGUCUAGCUCUUUAGAAGAGACGCGUUCAGAGAAACUAUAUUCCCCAAAAGAG